GGGGGGCAGGGCCGCCCGCAGACGGGCCACUGGGGAGAAGGUGGGGCGCUGAGCGGAGCCACAAGGGCCUCACUAGGAUGGGCUCAAAGAGACGAGGGGUCCCCGGCCUCCAUUAUGUUGGUGGUUCUUGGGGAUAAAUGGGUGACUGCGGGGCAGGGAGGUUGAGGGUCAUCUGAGGACCCUUGGGGUGACCGUCUGUGGAUAGAAACUGGGAGACUCCCGACAAAGGGAAAGAAGGACAAACAAAAGUGGAGAGAGGUGAAAGGGGAAAUAACCCUGGGGGGUAAGAGACGGAUGGGGGCUGGUGGCGGUGCACGUAGGAACGGGGCCUCCGGGCUCUGACCUGGGCGACAGUGUAGGGCAGCCGUGAGAAGCAGCGAGGCUUCAGGGAGCUAGCACCUUUCAGAAGGGCACCAGGGCCUUUCCCAGGGGCGGGACCCAAAAGAGGUGUGCAGGGUCAUCCCGCCAGCCCAGCCGUCUCAAGUACAAGGGCAGGGUCUGCCCUGCCUUCUCCUCGCUUGGGGGCGGCACCUGUCUGCCCACGACACAGGUGCGGGGGAGGAGGACUCGCUGUCCGCCCCUGAAGAGCCUCAACAGAGUCUCGGCAGUAUCGGGCUGGUAAACGCAGUGGUCCUGGUAUGGGGGACUUCCUGACCUGCUCCUUACUCUCCCCCAGGCACCCCUCGGGAGAGCCACGGCUGGGAUGACUCUUCCCGUGGAGGAGGAGAAAACCACAACCAGUCCCACGUCUCAGAGAUUCCCAUUGGGACACCUCUGUUUCUGUGAGUCCCGGUGAUGGGUACGGCCGCGCACGUCAUGACCGCCCCAGGGCGGAGAACCUCCCCCGCCCUCUCCGGGUCAGCCUGGGGACAUGCGCCGGGUCAGCCUGGGGACAUGCGCCGGGGCACAGGCACACGCACCCUGUCCUCACUUUCCAACCUGUUCUCUCCAUCUCGCUUUGCAGGGUAGUUCUCCCAGUCCAGCCCGUCAGGACUGGGCCCGCCCCUGCAGUCACCUGGCCGAGGGAGCCAAGAGCUCGCAUGUCCUGGGGCUGCUGGCUCUGAAGGAACGUGGGAUGUAAAACAGUAACGAAGUAGACCGAACCCAUGUGGUUGUUCCGGGCACCAGAACCGUAACCGUGAGCUGCUGUUCCUGUCAUUGGGUGCUGGGGAAGCAUCUUUGAGCUGAGUGGAGACAGGGACUACGAUCUCUGGACAGCACCCCCAAGGGCUCCGUCUCGGUAAAGAAAAGCAUCGGCUGUGCUACCGGGGUGAGAGGCAGGGAGGAGCCAGUGAGGCAUGGCGGGGACAGGCGCGGGGGCGUGCAAGGGGGCACACAUGGUGAGGGGAACGCUCUAGGCGUUUCAGAGGGCUCCGCUGCCUGCUGCACAUGGUAAGUCGUAAGCACAAGGAAGGGGCCUGGCUGGCUGGACUAGAAGGCCGUGACACAGAGAGGUCGGGGGAGCACUGGGGAGCACAGGUGACCCUUCUUACCGGGAGCAGGGAGGCCGGUCUUACCUGCACUCGGGUUCGGAUGACGUCCAUGGGAUUGGUCAGGACGGAAGCGGUGGCCGCGGCCAGGGGCCCCGAGACGGCUUGAAAGACAAUGUGCGGGCACUCCUUAGGACAGAGGUACGAGAUCUGCUCUGGAAGCGAGGGAGAGACAACAGGAGAGACGUGAGGCGCCGUCCCGUCUGCCCUCACACUGCUUCUGCUCAUUGGCCCAACGCGGACGGACCCUCUCCAUCAUCAGCCACCUUAGAUCCUGUCACUGCCAUCCUCUUUUCUUUGCUUCCUUCUGAACCAAGAAAAAAUGAGGACCCUCAGGCCCCUUCCGGAAGCCAUGUUGGGUACAUUACCCGCUGUGAACAGAGGAUUCCCCUGGAGAAGGGGUUUCAGAACCUCUCUGCCUGCCAACUCCCCUCCUCUGACGAACAGAAAUCCUUCCUGACGUAACAACCUCACGCGUGUGCUCUACUCCUCCCGACUCCCAGGCCAGACAAGCACGCGCCACGGAUUUUCUCACACGGGCACCCCGUCACUGUUUCAGAUGUGCAGUACAGUGAUCCGACACGUCUAUACGGCACUCCGUGCUCAGUAAGUGGACUCCUCAUCCCCUUCACCUGUUUCCCCCGCCCACCUCCCUCUGGUGGCCAGCAGUGUGUUCUCUGUAGUCAAGAGUCUGUUUUUUGGGGGGCGCCUGGGUGGCGCAGUCGGUUAAGCGUCCAACUUCAGC